rnacentral:lncRNA from 1 species
AGCAGUUUUUCAGAGUAGUCUUAUCUGAAUGUCCCUGAUAGAAGAAGAUGUUGAUAGCCGUACAGAUGCCUCUCUGUCUAUAGAAUCAAGUUUAAUCAUUGACUUUAAAACUUUAGUGUCCAGCACUGUAGUAUAAUAAGUUUAUUGUGAGAUCUUCCCCCUAUAGAAUUACGCAAUGUGAAUAGAAUGGAGUCUUGGAGGCACUGUAGGUCUUACAAAAGGUUUGGAAGUUAUGUUAGUAUCUUUCUGAGUAGAGGAGUG